UACGUAGGGUGCAAGCGUUAAUCGGAAUUACUGGGCGUAAAGCGUGCGCAGGCGGUUUUGUAAGUCUGUUGUGAAAUCCCCGGGCUUAACCUGGGAAUUGCGAUGGAUACUGCAAGGCUAGAAUCUGGCAGAGGGGGGUUGAAUUCCACGUGUAGCAGUGAAAUGCGUAGAGAUGUGGAGGAACACCGAUGGCGAAGGCAGCCCCCUGGGUCAAGAUUGACGCUCAUGCACGAAAGCGUGGGGAGCAAACAGG
rnacentral:rRNA from 1 species